rnacentral:rRNA from 1 species
AGUGAACGCUGGCGGUAGGCCUAACACAUGCAAGUCGAACGGAAGCACAGUGAGAGCUUGCUCUUACGGGUGGCGAGUGGCGGAUGGGUGCGGAAUAUAUCGGAAUCUACUUUUUCGUGGGGGAUAAAGUAGGCAAACUUACGCUAAUACCGCAUACGAACUACGGGUGAAAGCAGGGGAUCUUCGGACCUCGCGCGAUUGAAUAAGCCGAUGUCGGAUUAGCUAGUUGGCGGGGUAAAGGCCCACCAAGGCGACGAUCGGUAGCUGGUCUGAGAGGCGGAUCAGCCACACUGGAACUGAGACACGGUCCAGACUCCUACGGGAGGCAGCAGUGGGGAAUAUUGGACAAUGGGCGCAAGCCUGAUCCAGCCAUACCGCGUGGGUGAAGAAGGCCUUCGGGUUGUAAAGCCCUUUUGUUGGGAAAGAAAAGCAGCAGGUUAAUACCCCGCUGUUCUGACGGUACCCAAAGAAUAAGCACCGGCUAACUUCGUG